rnacentral:rRNA from 1 species
UACGUAGGUGGCAAGCGUUGUCCGGAUUUAUUGGGCGUAAAGCGAGUGCAGGCGGUUCAAUAAGUCUGAUGUGAAAGCCUUCGGCUCAACCGGAGAAUUGCAUCAGAAACUGUUGAACUUGAGUGCAGAAGAGGAGAGUGGAACUCCAUGAUGUAGCGGUGGAAUGCGUAGAUAUAUGGAAGAACACCAGUGGCGAAGGCGGCUCUCUGGUCUGCAACUGACGCUGAGGCUCGAAAGCAUGGGUAGCGAACAGG